CCUCAGCCUGUCCUUGUAGGAGAGGUGCUCCAGCUCCCUGAUCAUCCUAGUCGCCCUCCUCUGGACGAUUAGAUUAGAUCAUUUGGUUAGGAUCAUUUGGACGAUUGGUUAGAUCAUUUCAGUUGGGAAAAAUUUAGAAGAAGAAGAUACAACAGAUGUAUAAGCAAUUAUGAAUUUAAGGAAAAAUGUGUAUCUAUUCUGUGAGAAGUGGCAAAUACCUCUGAAAGGAACAAGUUAUGGAUAACAGGAGAAAAAAAACUUACUCUACUACACAUCGUGGAACAUGAGAGAUUCUGUGGAAGUCAAAAUGAAUGACCCCUUCUGUGGAAUGCAAUCCACAGAAGACUUAGAAAGAAUCAGAAAGGUUAACCUUUGUGAUGUAUUUGUCUAUUAAUCACAGCAUUCUGGCUUUAAGUCAUAACUUAGCACCCUACACAAACUCAGACCCUCUGAAUCACUUUUCUGCUCUCUAUUGGAAUUGAUUCUUGAGUAAGAAAUGUUUCUUUUAAUUUUAACAAAUGAGACCAGCACUUCAUGUGUUCUAUGUUGUAGGCACUGAUUACUGUCUAUUCUCAUGUCCUUGUAAAAUACUGAUAUCUGAGAAUGUCAGCCAGGAAAGCACCACAAAGCAGAACAUAAGUCCAAGACUCAAAUGGGGAAAAUUUCAUACAAUUAUUAGAGAAACCAGAGAGUUCAUUGCUAACUGAGAUAAGCACUUCCUCUUCCGUCUCAGUGGGAUAACAGAGAAAUGCAAAACAGUUACAUUCAAAUUAGGAGAAGAUAAACAUGCAAUCAGACUUAAAUAUUAGUGUGAACAAUGCAAUGGCCAGGUCAGCGUGCCUCUUUAUUUGGUGUUCAUGAAGGGAACUCUUGCCAUAAGCAAUAAAGCAGAAGAAGGUAUAAUAGAUACACUUAAUUAUUAUUGUAUUUUUUUUUUCCCCGAUAGUGUUUUAUAGUGUUUUGUGGCUAAAUUUCAGUCUGGAGAUCUUACAAAUAGUGACGUAAUAAACAUCAUUCUAUAUCAUCUGUCAAGUUCUCACACAUGCCCUUGUUUCCUGAUUAACCAGUAUCUGCACAGUAUGUACUAACCUCAGGAAGUUUUAUUUUGGCAGUUUAUGUAUUUAUAGUUUUGAGAUAUUGCUAGGGCUGUGCAUUGCAAGUACACCACAGCAAAAAGUUCUGCAAAUGACAUGCUCAUUACAUUUGCAUGAGUCUGAAAUUAAAAUAAUAAUAAUAAAUAAUAAAAGAACGUGAGAAUAAAAUCCAGGUAAUAUACAGCAGACUUUGCAAAAUAUAAAAUAGUCAGGAAUAUGCUUCCAAUAUUCCGUCUGUGGGAGAGUAUGCAACAGAGAAGUGCAUUGACGUAGGAAAAUGACAGUGUAAAACAACAGGAUGAAAAUUCAGAUGAAUACCAUGAAGACAAUGUCAGGAAAGCAUUACACAGGAGGCCCUUACACACAGCAAAUUAAAACAAUACAGAUGAGCACAUCUUAAAAAUUCUGUCAAUCAAAAUCAGUGUUGGCUUGAUCAAGAAACUGUAGAACAAGUAUCUGUUUCUGUGUAAUUUUGUUUUUUUUUUUAAUAAGUUAGAGGGUUUUGACAUUUUGCAAAUCCCGAGGAAAUUGGAUGAGUAUGGAGAAGGAGAUCAUCCAGUGCUUACAUUUGUGAAGAGCUCAAGUAACUCAGAUGCGUUGGUGAAGAUCUGUGAUUGUGCCCAACUCAAAAAAUAGCUUUAUUGCCUGUACAGUUAGGAGAGAUCCUUGUAGUCUCAUCUUCUCCCAUCUACACGUCACAGUUUUGGCACGGGCCUUGCCUAACCGAACUGCAUUUGCUUAGGAAACUGUUGAGUGGAUGAUGUUGAGAGGAUGAUGAAGCCACUCUCGUUGUGAACUGCUUGUGAAUUGAUGCAGUGUGAGGCCUGAGGUGAGAUGCUGCCUGUCAAGCCUUCCUUGGAGAUCUACAUUUUAAUAAUUUUAAUGAAACAUCAAAAGCAAUUACGACAAUUAGGAAUCUUUAACUGAAAAGUCUGUGCAAGUUUUGUUUUUAAGCGAUUGGGCGCCGGGGUCUGCCAAAUUUGUUGUAAGAAAUGUACAGGUGUGGCCAACUCUCUUCUGUGUUGGAGAUAUGCAGUGAGAGAGUGUUCUGAAAUGCUUUCUACACUGUUCUCUUUUCUGACUUUUCUAACAAUGACAAUUUGAGGGCUCCUCUCCAGAGAGCAGUCAAUGCAGGCAGGGAAGAAAGGUUUCAUGGCUGCUGGUUGCUGUGGAGACAGACAGCAUCCCACUGUGAAGACUGCGUAAUACAGGGAGGAAAAGCUCUGAUGGACAUCACAAAGAAAAUAUAUUCCUUCCACUUUCUGUCUCAGCUUGGCUCAGUUGCUUUGGUCUUUCUUCCAGCUUCUCAUCCCUACUUGAUUCUCUCCCUCUUUUCUUCAGCUCAAGUCUCACUUCUUUAUUAUGUAUUCUCCCCAUUCCUUUUCACGUUCUUUCAUGUGCCUUUUCUCCUCAUUUCAUCCCACUUUCCCGAGUGUAUUUGUCUUGCUGAAGUUUUCUUUCCAGACAAAAUCACUGAUGAUUUUCUUGUCUGCUGGGCUACAGAGAGCAGGACGGUGCUCCCACUGCAGUUCUGCCUGGACAAUAUUGCUAUUAGGUUUUAUAUUUCAACAGAACAGAAUUUGUUCUUAUGAGAGAAGAUUGCUAUGGUCCUGCUUCAGCAAAGCAGCCUCUGUAUGUGCCUCCUUCCAUCAGCUCCUGUGGCACCCAGUUUCCUGGAUGCAGAGCUACAGCAAAGCUGUUUCUUUGCAAGGAUUUCUGGUACUCUGUAAUGCAAUAAAAGGACUGGUUAUAGUUGAUCAUUUUGAAA